rnacentral:lncRNA from 13 species
UUAAGAAAAUAUCCCCCACUAUCCAUUUUAUUUCGGAAGUGCACUAGAGAUCUGGAUGUCUCAGAUACAGAUAUCCACAUUUCAAAAGAAACUAUAGUCAUUAUUCCGGUGCUUGGAUUGCAUCGCGAUCCAACUAUAUAUCCGGAUCCGGAUAAAUUUGAUCUGGAACGUUUCACCGAAGCCAAUAAAGCAACAAGACAUUCGUCUGCAUAUUUAUGAUCCAUUUGGUGAUGGACCACGGAUGUGCAUGGGUAUGAAAUUUGCCUUCUCGCAAAUAAAGGUAGGACUUGCAAAACUGUUGUUAAAAUAUAAAUUCAAACCACAUCUAAAAAUUUCAAUCCCGUUAACGAUAGAUAAAACGUCAGUUUUAAUAGUUGCGCCAAAAAGGUGGAAUACAUCUAACCAUUGAGCAACGAUAACGGUCUUUGUUCAUUUUUCCUAAAAAAGUUCGAGAUAUAGUUAUAAAUAAUAUAGUUAUAAAUAAUAUUUCGAAAUGUUUCUUGUAAUUAGUUUUCAGUAUUAUAAUACUACUUGAUACUAAAAUAAUAAAAUGUUUUGUUAAUAUAUAAA